GGCCAAGUUUGGUUUAAUUUGGCCCAGUAGUUUCAGAGGAGAAGAUUUUUGUAAAAGUUAACGACGACGACGGACGACAGACGACGGACGACGCCGGACGCCGGACGCCAAGUGAUGAGUAAAGCUCACUUGGCCUUUUAGGCCAGGUGAGCUAAAAAUGGUUAAAAAUUGACUAUAAAGGGCAAUAACUCCUAAAGGGUCAACUGACCAUUUCGGUCAUGUUGACUUAUUUGUAAAUCUUACUUUGAUGAACAUUAUUGCUGUUUACAGUUUAUCUCUAUCUAUAAUAAUAUUCAAGAUAAUAACCAAAAACGGCAAAAAUUUCCUCAAAAUUACCAAUUCAGGGGCAGCAAUCCAACAACAGGUUGACCGAUUCAUCUGAAAAUUUCAGGUCAGAUAGAUCUUGACCUGAUAAACAUUUUUACUCCAUGUCAGAUUUCCUCUAAAUGUUUUGGUUUUUGAGUUAUAAGCCAAAAACUGCAUUUUACCCCUAUGUUCUAUUUUUAGCCGUGGCGGCCAUCUUGGUUGGUUGACCGGGUCACGCCACACAUUUUUUAAACUAGAUACCCCAAAGAUGAUUGUGGCCAACUUUGGAUUAAUUUGGCCCAGUAGUUUCAGAGGAGAAGAGUUUUGUAAAAGAUUACUUAGAUUUAUGAAAAAUGGUUAAAAAUUGACUAUAAAGGGCAAUAACUCCUUAAGGGGUCAACUGACCAUUUCGGUCAUGUGACUUAUUUGUAAAUCUAACUUUGCUGAACAUUAUUGCUGUUUACAGUUUAUCUCUAUCUAUAAUAAUAUUCAAGAUAAUAACCAAAAACGGCAAAAUUUCCUCAAAAUUACCAAUUCAGGGGCAGCAACCCAACAACAGGUUCACCGAUUCAUCUGAAAAUUUCAGGCAGAUAGAUCUUGACCUGAUAAACAUUUUUACCCCACAUCAGAUUUCCUCUAAAUGCUUUGGUUUUUGAGUUAUAAGCCAAAAACUGCAUUUUACCCCUAUGUUCUAUUUUUAGCCGUGGCGGCCAUCUUGGUUGGUUGACCGGGUCACGCCACACAUUUUUUAAACUAGAUACCCCAAAGAUGAUUGUGGCCAAGUUUGGAUUAAUUUGGCCCAGUAGUUUCAGAGGAGAAGAUUUUUGUAAAAGAUUACUUAGAUUUAUGAAAAACGGUUAAAAAUUGACUAUAAAGGGCAAUAACUCCUAAAGGGGUCAACUGACCAUUUCGGUCAUGUUGACUUACUUGUAAAUCUAACUUUGCCGAACAUUAUUGCUGUUUACAGUUUAUCUCUAUCUGUAAUAAUAUUCAAGAUAUAACCAAAAACAGCAAAAUUUCCUCAAAAUGACCAAUUCAGGGGCAGCAACCCAACAACGGGUUGACCGAUUCAUCUGAAAAUUUCAGGGCAGAUAGAUCUUGACCUGAUAAACAUAUUUACCCCCAUGUAAGAUUUCCUCUAAAUGCUUUGUUUUUUGAGUUAUAAGCCAAAAACUGCAUUUUACCCCUAUGUUCUAUUUUUAGCCAUGGCGGCCAUCUUGGUUGGUUGACCGGGUCACGCCACACAUUGUUUAAACUAGAUACCCCAAUGAUG
rnacentral:lncRNA from 1 species